rnacentral:rRNA from 1 species
CCUACGGGGUGCAGCAGUGGGGAAUAUUGCGCAAUGGGCGAAAGCCUGACGCAGCGACGCCGCGUGAGGGAUGAAGGUCUUCGGAUCGUAAACCUCUGUCAGCAGGGAAGAACGGUCACUGGGCUAAUCAGCAGUGAAUUGACGGUACCGGCAAAGGAAGCACCGGCCAACUCCGUGCCAGCAGCCGCGGUAAGACGGAGGGUGAGAGCGUUAAUCGGAAUUAAUGGGCGUAAAGAGCACGUAGGCGGUAUGUCAAGUCAAGGGUGAAAUCCCCGCGCUCAACGUGGGAACUGCCUUUGAAACUGUCACACUGGAGUGUGUGUGAGGAUAGUGGAAUUCCAGGUGUAGGCGUGACCUCCGUAGAUCUCUGGAGGAACAUCAGUGGCGAAGGCGACUCUCUGGCACAUACCUGCCGCUGAGGAGCGAAAGCGUGGGUAGCAAACAGGAUUAGAUACCCUAGUAGUC